GCGGGGGUUGCCAAGCCAGGUCAAAGGCGCAGGGCUUAGGACCCUGUCUCGUAGGAGUUCGCGAGUUCAAAUCUCGUCCCCCGCA
rnacentral:tRNA from 2 species